CAUGUUUUAGUUCCUGUCUAGCGCCAUUAUUUCUAGUUUCCACUUCCUUUUUUUUAGGUCGUAGCUUCAUCUUAACUUUGUCUGCCAGCACAACCGUUCUCAGUGUUCAAUUUACUCUACUUCGGUUCAGUUGUCUGCGGUCUUUGUUGCAACAUUGUUUUGUGAAUGCUUGCUCUCCUGUUGCUUACCACUAGCAUCCUGUUAUGUUUACCUGGUAGCCAUUUUAGUUUUGUCCCGUGUUUGCAUAGCUUUCCCUAUGCUUUGUGUGCACUCAAAGCUGCACUAGUUCUUUGUUUUGUCUGAUAUUAAACAACUUUUACCUGCCUGCUGUCCUUUGCAGAUUGGGAUCACCACACUCGCCGCUACCAUAUCGUCACAGUAUCAGGCUCAAAAAUGAUGCUGAGACACAGGUGCAAAGUUGGAUCAGUUCCAUACCUGCAGCCUCUAUUGCAAUCUCCAGGUCUUCUCUCUCCUCUGCUUCAGCCUGAGCUUCUUCCUGAGCCCUGAGUGUCUAAAAAGACAUUGUAUUCAUCCUCCUUUAAACUAGUCAGUGUAUGUGAAUGGGUCGUACCUGCACUGCCCCAGUUAUUGGACGACUUGUCUGGAGCGCAGUAUAUGAACCGCCUCAGACACGUGACUGCAUGGGAACCAACCAGGGUGUUGCGGCCAAACGCUCGGCAGUCCACCACUCUGAUGUUGAGCGGGGGGUGGAGAAGCUCAUUCUCAGGGAGGUCCUGAUGAGA